rnacentral:rRNA from 1 species
AAGCGCGCGCAGGCGGCCUUUUAAGUUGGAUGUGAAAGCCUACGGCUCAACCGUAGAACUGCAUCCAAAACUAUCAGGCUAGAGUGUGGGAGAGGAAGAUGGAAUUAGUUGUGUAGGGGUAAAAUCCGUAGAGAUAACUAGGAAUACCAAAAGCGAAGGCAAUCUUCUGGAACAUUACUGACGCUGAGGCGCGAAAGCGUGGGGAGCAAACAGGAUUAGAUACCCUGGUAGUCCACGCCCUAAACGAUGAAUGUUAGUCGUCGGGAAGCUAGUCUUUUCGGUGAUGCAGCUAACGCAUUAAACAUUCCGCCUGGGGAGUACGGUCGCAAGAUUAAAACUCAAAGGAAUAGACGGGGACCCGCACAAGUGGUGGAGCAUGUGGUUUAAUUCGAAGAUACGCGAAGAACCUUACCUAGCCUUGACAUAUAUUAGAACACCCUAGAGAUAGAGUGGUGCCUUCGGGAGCUUUUAUACAGGUGCUGCACGGCUGUCGUCAGCUCGUGUCGUGAGAUGUUGGGUUAAGUCCCGCAACGAGCGCAACCCUCGUCACUAGUUACUAACGGUUCGGCCGAGGACUCUAGUGAGACUGCCUUCGCAAGGAGGAGGAAGGUGAGGACGACGUCAAGUCAUCAUGGCCCUUACGGCUAGGGCAACACACGUGCUACAAUGGCCAGGACAAUGAGAAGCGAUACC